AGAGAAAAGAUACAGAGUUCAACAUGAUGAACUGCAGGACUUCACUGCUGCUCUUAGCUGUCUGCUGGACAGGUGUUGGUGGUCAGACUCUGACAGAAUCUGAACCAGUGACUAAAAGACCUGGAGAAUCUCACACCCUGACCUGUACGGCCUCUGGGUUCACGCUUAGCAGCUAUUACAUGGCUUGGGUCAGACAGGCGCCUGGAAGAGGACUGGAAUGGAUCGCCUACAUAGGCACCUACAGUUCUCCAAUAUCUUACUCCCAAUCAGUCCAGGGAAGAUUCAUCAUCUCCAGAGAUGACUCCAACAGUAAAAUCUAUCUGAAGAUGAACCAGCUGAAAGCUGAGGACACAGCUGUGUAUUACUGUGCUAGAGAGGCACAGUGACACAGGGAAGCAGGAGGUUCAUACAAAAACUUCCUCCAUCUGCCACUUCCUCUGCAGACCUUCUGCUCA